rnacentral:lncRNA from 1 species
CCCAUUUGUGAAGUUCCAUCACAGGAAGUUCUUCUCCAGUGGCCCCUGAUCCAGGGAGACCCACCCUGCAACAGCCCUUGUCUCCCUCCGCCCUUGGUUCCUUCUCACCCAUCUCACCACCAUCUGCCCAGGGGAGCCACAUGUCCCAAAUUUUGGAGAGAAAAUAAUUGAGGCUCAUUUCCAGGACAGAGGGGCAAGCUGGGUCUAAAGAGCCAAGCAGAAAGGCUUCCCAAAAUCGCUAGGUUGGGAGGGGUCAGAGACGUGUGGCUGCCCCAGCUGUUCUGACUCUGCCCCAGCUUUUGGCUCCACCCCCUUAAAGCACCUUCAGAGGUUCCCAUGGCGACAGUAAACAAGUCUCCACUGCCUUGGCCAUGUGCUGUGUUCACCCCACUCCUGAUCUUGUUGGCUGCUCAGGGGCUGACAGCCCAGAUGUGCAGCUGUGAUGAGCAGAAACAGGGAGGAAUGGAGCCCCCAGGUGAGCGGCGAUUAUCCUGUUGAUCUUGAUUUUGUGGUGCCAUAUCUUGCUCCUGCUGACCCACUUCCUGAAUGUCUGUCAUUCUCACCUGUGUCUCUCCCUUUCUACUCUUCUUCCAGCCAUUGUCAUCACUUCCUCAAGCUGUCUAAAUUCUGCCCAGCAGUCUGUGAAAAUGUUGUGCUGAUGACAUAUGUAAGGACUCUAACUCCCCUCAAACAAUCUGCUCACCUGAAAGGCUCACUCCUGUUGUAAUAAAUGACACAUAAGGUCACAAUUCAACCGGUACCCAUCUUGGAUACCACUUCUUAUGUAAACAUCAA